rnacentral:rRNA from 1 species
CCUACGGGUGGCAGCAGUGAGGAAUAUUGGUCAAUGGGCGCAAGCCUGAACCAGCCAAGUCGCGUGAGGGAAGACGGCCCUACGGGUUGUAAACCUCUUUUGCCGGGGAGCAAGCCUGAGCACGUGUGCCCAGGCGGAGAGUACCCGUAGAAAACGCAUCGGCUAACUCCGUGCCAGCAGCCGCGGUAAUCCGGAGGAUGCGAGCUUUAUCCGGUUUUAUUGGGUUUAAAGGGUGCGCAGGCGGGCUGUAAAGCCGGCGGUAAAAAUUCAGGGCCCAACCCUGUCGAGCCGUCGGAACUGGCAGCAUUGAGUGGGCGAGAAGUAUGCGGAAGGCGUGGUGUAGCGGUGAAAUGCAUAGAUAUCACGCAGAACGCCGAUUGCGAAGGCAGCAUACCGGCGCCCGACUGACGCUGAGGCACGAAAGCGUGGGGAUCGAACAGGAUUAGAUACCCGUGUAGUC